UGGGGAAUUUUGGACAAUGGGCGAAAGCCUGAUCCAGCAAUGCCGCGUGUGUGAAGAAGGCCUUCGGGUUGUAAAGCACUUUUGUCCGGAAAGAAAUCCUUGGCUCUAAUACAGUCGGGGGAUGACGGUACCGGAAGAAUAAGCACCGGCUAACUACGUGCCAGCAGCCGCGGUAAUACGUAGGGUGCAAGCGUUAAUCGGAAUUACUGGGCGUAAAGCGUGCGCAGGCGGUUUGCUAAGACCGAUGUGAAAUCCCCGGGCUCAACCUGGGAACUGCAUUGGUGACUGGCAGGCUAGAGUAUGGCAGAGGGGGGUAGAAUUCCACGUGUAGCAGUGAAAUGCGUAGAGAUGUGGAGGAAUACCGAUGGCGAAGGCAGCCCCCUGGGCCAAUACUGACGCUCAUGCACGAAAGCGUGGGGAGCAAAACAGGAUUNGAUACCCUGGUAGUCCACGCCCUAAAACGAUGUCAACUAGUUGUUGGGGAUUCAUUUCCUUAGUAACGUAGCUAACGCGUGAAGUUGACCGCCUGGGGAGUACGUCGCAAGAUUAAAACUUAAAGGAAUUGACGGGGUC
rnacentral:rRNA from 1 species